AGUGAACGCUGGCGGUAGGCCUAACACAUGCAAGUCGAACGGCAGCACAGUAAGAGCUUGCUCUUACGGGUGGCGAGUGGCGGACGGGUGAGGAAUACAUCGGAAUCUACUUUUUCGUGGGGGAUAACGUAGGGAAACUUACGCUAAUACCGCAUACGACCUACGGGUGAAAGCAGGGGAUCUUCGGACCUUGCGCGAUUGAAUGAGCCGAUGUCGGAUUAGCUAGUUGGCGGGGUAAAGGCCCACCAAGACGACGAUCCGUAGCUGGUCUGAGAGGAUGAUCAGCCACACUGGAACUGAGACACGGUCCAGACUCCUACGGUAGGCAGCAGUGGGGAAUAUUGGACAAUGGGCGCAAGCCUGAUCCAGCCAUACCGCGUGGGUGAAGAAGGCCUUCGGGUUGUAAAGCCCUUUUGUUGGGAAAGAAAAGCAGCAGGUUAAUACCCCGCUGUUCUGACGGUACCCAAAGAAUAAGCACCGGCUAACUUCGUG
rnacentral:rRNA from 1 species